UCGAAGAAGAAUAGUUCAAUUCACUUUCUGUAGAAGUGACUGAAGGAAGGGUACUUCCACAACUGCAAGCACAGAAGCCAUUAAGAGGUUGAUUCAGCGACCCAUAUAAUGGUGGCCUCAAUUAAGGGACUGGCAGUGUGGCUGAAGAAAAACACCUAGCUAAAAGAGAACAGGAAGCAGAACUAACCAGAUGUAUUGACUGACUGAAUGUAAAGAUAAGGGAGAGGGAAAAGUCAACGAUGAUCUAUAGGUUUCCUCUAAACAGUCAUUAAACAAUUAUUUACUGAGCACCAAGUAUCUACCAUGGUUCCAGGUACCAGAGAUACAUCAUCAGACAGAAGAAUGUCUCAUUUUUAUGGAGGUUAUAGUUUAGCAGAAGAUAGACAGUAAACAAAUAAGAUGUCUACAAAACCUUCUCUCAUCAUUCUUUUUUUUUUUUUAGAGUAAAGUGAAAGCAACUUUAUUAAGAAAGUAAAGGAAUAAAUGGCUUCUCCAUAGGCAGAGCAGCCAAUGUGAUCAUUCUGGCCAAUAGGCUUCUUUUGUCUUAGGUGUGCCAGAGUACACCACGCAUUUUGGAACUAGAUGGCACAGAGCAGAUUCACAUCAUAUGUACAGCUUCACUGGGAAUCCUUCAUCCCAAUGAAGCUGAUAAAGUCUGAAAUAGGACAUACACGUUAAAAGAAUGUCUGAAUGAUUGUAAGGAUUUUUCUGGCUUCUAGCAAAAAAGUAAAAUAUUGUUUGUACUUCUGAACAAUUUAAGGAAUUUUGAAAAGAACUCUGACUCUACUUUUUUCCCAUCACAUAAUGAAGAUUGAUGUAUUUAUUACUUGGUGGUGUGAAUUAGAAAUAUGAUAAAUUUAAAGUCUAACUUGUUUCCCAUCCAAACUUCCCAACUAGACUGCACUGUAUUUUUUAUUUUUCUCUAAUUGUUGUACAUGGGUAAGUAAAACUCGUGUAAGUUUCCGCAUAGUUCACACUCAUGGGAAACAAAAACUGCGCCUUGUAUAUCAUCAUCCCCCGACUGUCUGUCACUCACAGAAUUCAAGGCACAUAUGAAGUGCUCAAUAAACAAGAGCUUAGAGGAAAUCAAUGAGGCUUAGUGCAUAGCCUUAUUGCAAACUGUGGUCUCCAAUGCAAAAACAAAAUAAAACAAAAACCCCACAACUAAAAACAAAGUAGGGGAUGUUAACAAGAGAACAAGGAUAUGAAACCUAUCUCAUGAAAGAAUAAACAUUUCACACAGAAAUCAUAAAUGUUGGUAUUAAUUUUAAAUGACAUUUGUCAGCCAUAGAAAGUGAUCUCUAAUAACUCACGAUAGAGCAGUUUAAUGCCCAAAUAAUUGAAAAAAGAAUUGGAGAGGUAACCUAACGGCAGAUAAGAUUAAGUAAGGAAAAUUUCAAUCUGUGUGAAGAAGAGAAGGCUUUAAUUUUUCAACCCUUUGGGACAAUUUGGAACAUCAGGGCUCUACACCAAAACUCGACUUUAUUUAUCCUAUAUAUAUCCUUUAUUUAGGAUCCCUAAAUUUAUUUUUUACUUUCUUCAUGAACUCGUAAGUCAGUCUCCUAGGGCAUACUCAGCAUAGCAGGACCGUUUCCUACCCUCCUAUGAUUUUAUCCACAACCAAUCAGCAGCACACAUUCCCUAGCCCCUUGCCCGCCAAACUGUCCAUAAAAACCCCAGCUUCUGAGUUCUUGGUGAGACUGGUUUGAGUAAUAACUCCAGUCUUUCCACUUGGCUAGCUCUGCAUUAAUUAAACUCUUUCUUUACUGCAAUAUCGUGGGCUUGGCGAAAUGGUUUUGUGUGGGGAAAAGAAAGAGAGAUCAGACUGUUACUGUGUCUAUGUAGAGAGAAGUAGACAUAAGAGACUCCAUUUUGUUCUGUACUAAGAAAAAUUCUUCUGCCUUGGGAUGCUGUUAAUCUGUGACCUUACCCCCAACCCUGUGCUCCCUGAAACAUGUGCUGUGUCAA
rnacentral:lncRNA from 1 species